GUCUCUUGCAUCAAUCUCCUUCUCUAUAUUCAUAUAACCACCGUCCCUAUUUUAGGUUCUUGUCUCCAUUCACUGCACUGUUGUAAUAGUCCCUUCAUUUCCUUCCUCAUCUUCAGUCUGUCUCUUCUCUGAUCCAUCCUCUACACAAUGGUCAAAAUUAUUUUUCUAAGGUACAGAUUGGACCAUGAGGCUCCCUUAGAGAUCUUCAGCCACUCUUGUCUCUCAGAGAUCAUGUAAGCUCCUUCCCUUGGAUUUUGGAAGGCCCUCCACAGUCUGGUUCCAACCUACUCCUCCAGCCUAGGAUAUGAUGCUGCCUCAUGCACUCUGGGUGCCAGUCACAACAGACCACUUACUAGAGUUGUCCCUAGAUUUGACAUGCCAUCUUCUGCCGAUCUGCAUUUGCAAAGCAGUCCCCCAGACCUGGAAUGUGGUCCUUUCUUGUUUCAGAACUCCAAUGACAGUUUAUUUGUUUUUUCUUAAACUCCUACCUUCUAUCUUUUAGGAUCAUUUCCAAGACAGAAGCGGGGCAAGGCUUAGGCAAUCAGGAUUAAGAGACUUGCCCAGGGUCACCCAGCUAGGGAGUGGCCAAGGCCAGAUUUGGCCUGGCACACUCUAUCCACUGCCCUGCUUAGCCUUUCAACUUUUCUUCUUCUUCUUCUUCUUCUUCUUCUUCUUCUUCUUCUUCUUCUUCUUCUUCUUCUUCUUCUUCUUCUUCUUCUUCUUCUUCUUCUUCUUCUUCUUCUUCUUCUUCUUCUUCUUCUUCUUCUUCUUCUUCUUCUUCUUCUUCUUCUUCUUCUUCUUCUUCUUCUCCUUCUUCUCCUUCUUCUCCUUCUUCUCCUUCUUCUCCUUCUUCUCCUUCUUCUCCUUCUUCUCCUUCUCCUUCUUCUCCUUCUUCUCCUUCUUCUCCUCGUCCUCGUCCUCGUCCUCCUCCUCGUCCUCCUCCUCGUCCUCCUCCUCCUCGUCCUCCUUUCUUUCUUCUUUCUUCUUUCUUUCUUUCUUUCUUUCUUUCUUUCUUUCUUUCUUUCUUUCUUUCUUUCUUUCUUUCUUUCUUUCUUUCUUUCUUUCUUUCUUUCUUUCUUUCUUUCUUUCUUUCUUUCUUUCUUUCUUUCUUUCUUUCUUUCUUUCUUUCUUUCUUUCUUUCUUUCUUUCUUUCUUUCUUUCUUUCUUUCUUUCUUUCUCCCUUCUAUCUAUCUAUCUAUCUAUCUAUCUAUCUAUCUAUCUAUCUGUCUGUCUGUCUGUCUGUCUGUCUGUCUGUCUGUCUAUCUAUCUAUCUAUCUGUCGAUAUGUCUGUCUGUCUGUCUUGAAGAAGAAAAUGACUUGCUCAAACUCACAGUAGUAGUUAGUGUCAAAACUAGAAAGAGUGCUCUAGAUUCCAAGCCCAACAGGAUCUCCAUAUUACUUCCCAACAAAUCAGAGAGAAGAAAAAAUCUAGUUUGGAUUGAAUGUAGAGUGUAUAGAAAAGACUGCAAAGGGUGGAAAGAUGAGAUUUUGAUAUAUUGUAGAUGGCUACAAAUGCUAGGUUGAAGUGUUUAUAUUUUGUCAUCCAUAAAAUAGGGAGCUAUUGGAGAUUUUUGACCAGGGGAGUUACCACAGUCAG
ensembl:lncRNA